AACAGGAUUAGAUACCCUGGUAGUCCACGCCGUAAACGAUGUCGACUUGGAGGUUGUUCCCUUGAGGAGUGGCUUCCGGAGCUAACGCGUUAAGUCGACCGCCUGGGGAGUACGGCCGCAAGGUUAAAACUCAAAUGAAUUGACGGGGGCCCGCACAAGCGGUGGAGCAUGUGGUUUAAUUCGAUGCAACGCGAAGAACCUUACCUACUCUUGACAUCCAGCGAACUUUCCAGAGAUGGAUUGGUGCCUUCGGGAACGCUGAGACAGGUGCUGCAUGGCUGUCGUCAGCUCGUGUUGUGAAAUGUUGGGUUAAGUCCCGCAACGAGCGCAACCCUUAUCCUUUGUUGCCAGCGAUUCGGUCGGGAACUCAAAGGAGACUGCCGGUGAUAAACCGGAGGAAGGUGGGGAUGACGUCAAGUCAUCAUGGCCCUUACGAGUAGGGCUACACACGUGCUACAAUGGCGCAUACAAAGAGAAGCGACCUCGCGAGAGCAAGCGGACCUCACAAAGUGCGUCGUAGUCCGGAUCGGAGUCUGCAACUCGACUCCGUGAAGUCGGAAUCGCUAGUAAUCGUGGAUCAGAAUGCCACGGUGAAUACGUUCCCGGGCCUUGUACACACCGCCCGUCACACCAUGGGAGUGGGUUGCAAAAGAAGUAGGUAGCUUAACCUUCGGGAGGGCGCUUACCACUUUGUGAUUCAUGACUGGGGUGAAGUCGUAACAAGGUAACC
rnacentral:rRNA from 3 species